rnacentral:misc_RNA from 1 species
UCCGGUUUGUCACCGGCAGUCUCCGAUGAGUCCCCAACUAAAUGCUGGCAACAUCGGACAGGGGUUGCGCUCGUUGCGGGACUUAAGCCAACACCUCACGGCACGAGCUGACGACAGCCAUGCAGCACCUGUGCUAGCCCCUUACGGACACGGGCUUUCACCCGCUUUAACUAGCAUGUCAAACCCAGGUAAGGUUCUUCGCGUUGCAUCGAAUUAAGCCACAUGCUCCGCCGCUUGUGCGGGCCCCCGUCAAUUUCUUUGAGUUUUAAUCUUGCGACCGUACUUCCCAGGCGGCGCAUUUAUCGCGUUAGCUUCGCCACAAACGGGGUUGAUUCCGUUUACAGCAAAUGCGCACCGUUUACAGCCAAGACUAC